UUACAACCCUUCCUCUCAUUCAACCCCUAUAUUUUUCUUUUUUUUUUUUUUUUUUUUUUUUUUGUAUUUUUUUUUCUUUUUUAUUCAAAAAAAAAAAAAAACUAAAACCAAAAAUGUUGCUAAACCCUAUAAUCCUUAGAUUAACAGCACUAUAACGAUCCAAUCAACUGGCAAUAAUAAUUCGUUAGGUCCAAACCACCAGCCCAAAAUACUUAAACCUAGUUAUAAGGAUGUGAGACCUCAUAUAUUACAAAUCAGAAUCCUUUUUCCAUCCGACAUGAAAUUAGUGGGGCAUUACAAGUGCGCCAAGAAUCCUGCGCACAACAAAGUCAGCGGGGCCGAGGAACAGUUUGCACCCUUUUAGGACCCAGGAAGAGGAGGCUGGUGAGAUAGAGAUAAGGCCAUUGAUGGGGUAUAAGUGAGGUGAGUGUGGGGUAGAGAGAGAUGAGAUAAGUUAGGUUAGUGGGAUAUGAAGAUAUGGCUGUUGUAGAUUAGGGUAGUUGGAGUAAAAGUAAAAAUAAAAAGCAAUGCUCCUAUGCACCAUAAGAUCUCAGCCCUUAAAUUUUUUAAAAUGAAUAGUGGAGAUGUCUUUUAUUUAAGAGGGUGACCGGCUUUUCUUGCCUUAGGUACCAGUCAUUCUCUUACCGAGGGCAAACUAUUUGCUCAUCUGUAAAGUUAGCAUCAAGGGCUUUUUUUGUAAAUUCCUAUUCUCAUUCCCAUAAUGCCCCUCUAGUAAUUAUAGA
rnacentral:lncRNA from 1 species